rnacentral:tRNA from 1 species
GGGCGGUUGGCUCAGUGGUAGAGCGUCUGCCUUACAAGCAGAGGGUCACUGGUUCGAAUCCAGUACUGCCCAUUC